GAAGUGUUAGUUAAUGAAUAACAUAGCCUUGUCAUAGCUAAAUUACAGACUACAAUCUGUACACUUUA